AGUUUGAGUCAAGGAGGUAACUUGAUAUUUUACUUUGAGACAUGUUAGUCAUCAUCCAAUGAUCGUUGCAUGCCACUGUGAAGGUAGAGGAUGAAAAUUUUAGGGAGACGAUUAUCUGAAAAGGAAAUUUUGGGGUUGUUCAAUCCAGCUUGAUCCUAUUGGUCUUUUAACUCUCGAGUUUGAUGAUGGUGAAGUUUUUCAGUGGAGCAAGGUCACAACUUCCAUUUACAACCUCACUUUGGGAAAGCUCUAUUGCGAUCACUAUGGUACCAUGCGAAUAGAAGGAAAUUCUGAAUAUUCGUGUAAGAUAAAAUUCAAGGAGCAGUCGAUCAUAGACCGAAAUCCUCACCAGGUGAUUAAUUCACUAUGGUACCAUAUGCGAGUGCACACAGACUCACCAAGAUUUGUAUUUUCAGUAUUAUUGUAAUUGUAAUUGAUUGAAUGAAGGAUUG